AAUGAACGCUGGCGGCGUGCCUAACACAUGCAAGUCGAACGAGGCGGAAGGGGGCAACUCCUUCCAGUCGAGUGGCGGACGGGUGAGUAACACGUGGGUAACCUGCCCGGAAGUGGGGAAUACCUCGGGGAAACUCGAGCUAAUACCGCAUGACAUCUUCGGGACGAAAGUCCUGACGAUCAAAGCGGGGUCGCAAGAUCUCGCGCUACCGGAUGGGCCCGCGCCCGAUUAGCUAGUUGGUGAGGUAACGGCUCACCAAGGCUUCGAUCGGUAACCGGCCUGAGAGGGCGAUCGGUCACACCGGAACUGAGACACGGUCCGGACUCCUACGGGAGGCAGCAGUGGGGAAUCUUGCGCAAUGGGCGAAAGCCUGACGCAGCAACGCCGCGUGGAGGAUGAAGGCCCUUGGGUUGUAAACUCCUGUCGGCUGGGAAGAAAUCGUUCGCGGUUAAUACCCGCGGGCG
rnacentral:rRNA from 1 species